rnacentral:rRNA from 1 species
CCUACGGGGGGCACCAGUGGGGAAUAUUGCACAAUGGGCGCAAGCCUGAUGCAGCCAUGCCGCGUGUAUGAAGAAGGCCUUCGGGUUGUAAAGUACUUUCAGCGGGGAGGAAGGUGUUGUGGUUAAUAACCACAGCAAUUGACGUUACCAACAGAAGAAGCACCGGCUAACUCCGUGCCAGCAGCCGCGGUAAUACGGAGGGUGCAAGCGUUAAUCGGAAUUACUGGGCGUAAAGCGCACGCAGGCGGUUGAUUAAGUUAGAUGUGAAAUCCCCGGGCUUAACCUGGGAAUGGCAUCUGAGACUGGUCAGCUAGAGUCUUGUAGAGGGGGGUAGAAUUCCAUGUGUAGCGGUGAAAUGCGUAGAGAUCUGGAGGAAUACCGGUGGCGAAGGCGGCCCCCUGGACAAAGACUGACGCUCAGGUGCGAAAGCGUGGGGAGCAAACAGGAUUAGAUACCCUUGUAGUC